GAGUUUGAUCCUGGCUCAGGAUGAACGCUAGCGGGAGGCUUAACACAUGCAAGUCGAGGGGUAACAGGAAGAAACUUCGGUUUUUUCGCUGACGACCGGCGGACGGGUGAGUAACGCGUAUGCAACCUGCCUUUUACAGAGGAAUAGCUUUCGGAAACGGAAAUUAAUACCUCAUAACACUACAAGACGGCAUCGUUUUGUAGUUAAAACUACGGUGGUAAAAGAUGGGCAUGCGUAACAUUAGCUAGUUGGUAAGGUAACGGCUUACCAAGGCGACGAUGUUUAGGGGACCUGAGAGGGUGAUCCCCCACACUGGUACUGAGACACGGACCAGACUCCUACGGGAGGCAGCAGUGAGGAAUAUUGGUCAAUGGACGGAAGUCUGAACCAGCCAUCCCGCGUGCAGGAAGACGGCCCUAUGGGUUGUAAACUGCUUUUCUGAAGGAAGAAUAAUUACGAUGUAUCGUAAGACGACGGUACUUCAGGAAUAAGCAUCGGCUAACUCCGUGCCAGCAGCCGCGGUAAUACGGAGGAUGCAAGCGUUAUCCGGAUUUAUUGGGUUUAAAGGGUGCGUAGGCGGACUAAUAAGUCAGUGGUGAAAUCUCUCGGCUCAACCGGGAAACUGCCAUUGAUACUGUUAAUCUUGAGUUCGGUUGAGGUAGGCGGAAUGUGUAAUGUAGCGGUGAAAUGCUUAGAUAUUACACAGAACACCAAUUGCGUAGGCAGCUUACUAGACCGACACUGACGCUGAGGCACGAAAGCGUGGGUAGCGAACAGGA
rnacentral:rRNA from 1 species